UCUCUACGCCUUCACAUCCAGCAAUUAAAAGCGUCUCAGAGAGGAACGGGAGGUUCUCCACCACCUUAAUGCUAUCCACAUCUCUUAAGUGGAGCUCCUUCAAGCUGGUGGCCUCCAGUCCAAGCUGCCGUGGGAGAGCUCUCAGAUUGGGGCAGCAUUUAAGUGCCAACGCUUCCAAACGUGGUAGCAGCUGCAUCCUUGGAGGUGGGGCUUCCCCCUUUUGUUGGUUUGGAGCAACUCCAUCCUUACCUGGUGCUGCUGCUGUCGCUUCUUCUUCUUCUUCAACAACAAAGGUCCACUCCUCCCAGUUGGGCAUAUCCUCGAUCAGCAACAUUUCAAGCUUGGGGAAAGCAACUGCCUCUGCAGAUCCGGGAUUACCCACCCCGUAGCCAACAAAUUCGGAUCCAAUCUUGGUGACUGCAGUGGCUUCCUCGAUUCUCAGAUAUUUCAGGUUGGGGAGCUGUCCGAUUGGAGGAAGAUGCACACAUGAUUUGCAACGAAGAAGUGUCAAACACAUCAAUGAUGGAAAAUGUGUAGCAGUAUCAAGCCAGGAACAAUGAAUCUGGGCUACAAAGAGAUGCUCUCUCCAAUUUAUUCAUAUCAAGCUUCCUCAGCUCAAAAAGAGGGCCCAGCUCUUCUAGGCUCCAUCCAUCUUGCGUUCUGGCACUAUUAUCACUGCCACCACCAACCGGAAAUCCUUCAAUAUCAUUCAGGAGCUUCAAUUUAGCAAUCCCUUUUGGAACCUGGUUUAUUGGUGUUCCAGCAAGGCCAAGGCGCCUUAAGUUGCACAACCGAGUGAUUCCUAAAGGGAGACUAUGCAAAGCAUGGCACCCCUGCAAGUUCAAUAUCUGAAGGUUUUCUAGUGAACCAAUAGACUCAGGAAGACAAGAUAUGUCAGUUCUAUCAAGAUCAAGUAACCGUAGAUGGAUCAAUCUUCCAACGCAGUUUGGAAUACUUUGUAUAACUGACCCAGUUAGAUCCAAAACUCGAAUAUAUGGAAGUCUUCUAAAUAUUGUAUUA